rnacentral:rRNA from 1 species
GAUGAACGCUGGCGGCGUGCCUAAUACAUGCCAGUCGAGCGAACAGACGAGGAGCUUGCUCCUCUGACGUUAGCGGCGGACGGGUGAGUAACACGUGGAUAACCUACCUAUAAGACUGGGAUAACUUCGGGAAACCGGAGCUAAUACCGGAUAAUAUAUUGAACCGCAUGGUUCAAUAGUGAAAGACGGUUUUGCUGUCACUUAUAGAUGGAUCCGCGCCGCAUUAGCUAGUUGGUAAGGUAACGGCUUACCAAGGCAACGAUGCGUAGCCGACCUGAGAGGGUGAUCGGCCACACUGGAACUGAGACACGGUCCAGACUCCUACGGGAGGCAGCAGUAGGGAAUCUUCCGCAAUGCGCGAAAGCCUGACGGAGCAACGCCGCGUGAGUGAUGAAGGUCUUCGGAUCGUAAAACUCUGUUAUUAGGGAAGAACAAAUGUGUAAGUAACUAUGCACGUCUUGACGGUACCUAAUCAGAAAGCCACGGCUAACUACGUG